ensembl:lncRNA
CAGGGGAUAAUGGGGGGAAAAUGGGAGACACCUGGUGGGGGGUGGAAACAAGCACAAGACAAGUGAAACUGACCGGGUUGUGACAGAACUAAUAUCAUCGGCCGAUUUGUUUUUUUUAAAUAAACAUUUUCUUUAAUUAUUUAAUUUAUUUUAAUUUAUUUAAUUUAUUUUUUUUUUAGAUUUUUUUUUUAGACUAAUUCACUACCUGAGUAAGAGGAACAGCAAAACACAUUAGCUAGAUUGCUAACUCUAAACAUAAUAGGCCCAGCCACUUCUGGUGGCCAUGUAUUAAUCUAACAGUAUGUACAAUGUCCUAUAAAGGAUUUGCAGGUGUUGCCUAGGCUACUAACCAAUGAGGUCUGCACUCGCUAUACUGAUGAAAAUUUUGCUCACACUGUAUCACAAAGCCAGAUCAAAUAUUUUGGUUUUAAAACAGUUGCUAUACAGCUCAGUAUUAAGAAAUAACAAUUAUACCUAAAUUAGGCUUAGAAUCUCCUCAAAAGUGACAACAGUAGUUGCUUCCAAAGCUAUUUUUUUGUUGUUGUUGAAAUGUUACAGCCUACAAUCAGAUGUUUUUGUUGUUGUUGAAAUGUUACAGCCUACAAUCAGAUUUUUUUGUUGUUAUCCUGGAGUGCAAGGAGAGAGGGAGUGAGUGGCUAGCUCAUCACAGUAGCAGGUCCCAGCAAAACAGGCAUAGGGACAGGCCUGAUACUUUUAUUACAGGAGCCAUGAGGAUAGUGCACAUUACUCUUUGACCAAAUCAUGGCUUUAGUAGCAUGAAAAAAAUAGGACGUUGGGAGUGAGGUAGAAUGUGCAGCUCGCAUUGAUGCGACUAUUUACACUUUUUACUCGCACAGCCAAAUCAAAGGGUCGCAAAAUGUGGGUAAAUGGUCGCAGUCUGGAGACCUGUUACACCAAUGAUAGGUGCUUCAUGCCAUCUGGCUAUUAGGCCCAUUCUGUAAAUACUUAUGUCUGUGCUGUCAGCAUGGUAUGGUAUCACAGAAGUAUACUGUACAAAGGCGAUGUGCCUCACUAAAUCUGGUUAGACACCAAUGUUGGUCAGUGUAUCCCUCGUUUCCUUCCAAACUUCUGACCUAUCUUUUCUCCAUUUCCUGAACUGGCUGUCCUCAUGGCUUCCUGUCUUGGUAAAAUGUGACAGGAAGUCCAGUCAAGUGGUCAUUGGCUGAAUGCCAAACCAGUCCCUUUCCUUCGUCCCUCAAAUUGUGUGUUCAUGCGCGCCUCCGCCAUAUGCACAAGUGCAUGUUUCAAAGCUGAGGAUAUGAAAAUGAUUGAGGGUGUAGGUGCCAAUUCGACCCUCCGACAGCCACUUUGGCCCAGCCAGGCUUAGGUUGCAGGCUUCAGAGUGAAGUGGUAUCCCAACACAACACUGCAACAUAUUUGGAAUUAGCUAAUUUCGUUAAAAUAAUUAUGCAGAGGCGUGCCACGUGCAUUUGUUUGUGUCUGAUUUUGGGACUCAUGUAACAAAUGAUACCUACCCUAUUAAAUGUCCAGUUAUUAUUAAAGGUCACAUCUUGUAAAACAACAGUGGGGAUUUGUUAAUAAAACACAUUCAAGUCAUGAGUGUGUCCUGAAGUUGAUGGGUUUAGUCACUGCUCUGGAAGUUUUGCAAGUGUGACAAGGACCUCUGAGCGAGUUGAUAAGGACAAGGGGCUGGUUCAGGAUUGGGCCCAAAUCCUUUUCAAGGCCUUGCAUCCUCCUAUAUGGUCUGAGGUUGAAACCAGUUCAUGAAUGUGGUAAUGGACUGGGAUGACACUGGCCUGAUACUCAAAAUGCAGUCAAAUGUGUCAAGUGUAAAUUGGUGCUUUAUCUAUUCUGCAAGUGUCCUCGCCCUUUUCUAAAACUGGAUUAAGAGAUUUAUAAGACUUGGAGAGUGCAAUGGUUUUCCAAUCCAAAGAUGGAUUUUCAAAUUCUAGUUAGAUAGAUAGAUACUUUUCAAUGGAAAUGUAUAGUUUUUAUAAUUUUGGCUGUCAUUAUGCCGGGAGCAGCACAGUAUCAGCCGCUGAGCAGCGGCCAUCUACUUCCAUCAUCAUAUAAAUAAACUGAAAUGUAAUAAUCCUUCAAAAAACUCAAACAUUCAUGUCGAACAAAACACCUGUCAAAACACAGACUUAAACAAGCCCUUUGGUAGUGUUUGGACUUCCUGUCCAAAUCUUUGAAGCAUUCCUUUUUUAAUUUAAAUAGAAAAUUAAAUAUUUGCAAUGACAGAUGCACUGUCUCUUCAAUCAACAUGGACCUGGUGACAGUACAGCAUCAUGAACUAAUCAAAUAUAAAUACCUACCCUACACUCUUAUUUAGUGCUAUUAGAAUAGGCGUUAAUUAUGCAGUUAUUUGUUUCACAGAAAAUUACGGAGCUUUCUAAGUAAUCAGGUGUUGCCACAGAUGUUCUAACGGUUUCAUAAUAGUCUUGAACAACUUCAUAUUCUGGUCAUCUCUACUCCAACAAUGCUAAUAUGGAAGGACUUGGCAUGCUAACAUGAUUUGGUCCUGUCUGCCAUCACUAUUCUCUGCCUUCUUCAUCUCUUCAACAUUGGUCCUUCUCGAUGUUUUUCUUGGCCGGCCCUGAUAAUAACACUUCAACAAUUACCGUUUGGGUCAUGCAAAAUCAAUCAUUUGUCUUCAUCAUUGUUAAUUGACUUAAUUGUAUGAGAAAUGAAACAGAAAUUAUUUAGGCGAUCUCGUAACAAAAAACCCUAUGAUGCAUUCCCAUUUAUUGAAAUCAGCCUAUUUUUGUAAAUCACUGUGGUGUUGAAUAUCCUAACAGACUGCAGAUAUUUCAUUUGUUUGUGUUUCCUGCUCGUCGACUAUACAGACAUUCACACCAAAUGAGCUCAAUUUGCCAGAUGUCUGUUGUGCCUAAUUUUCAUAUUGUGGUUAAUGGUGCAUUCACUGAACCAGAUGACAGAUUUUCAACGGAAUGGCCUGAGGAGAAAGGAACGACUACCAACAGAACAGGGCUGUGGCAGGUAACCUAGUGAGGCAAGCCAGGAACUGGAAGUUCAAAUCUAAGGUCAGAUGAGCAAAUGUGGUGGGGAGUAAGCCGGCCAUCGGAGAGUUGCUGUCAUCAGUAUCCUAGUUAGAGGCCAUAUCAUACCAUUGUGCCCUUGAGAACGGUACUUAAUCCACAAAAUGAUCAAGGGUUUAUGUUUCUGGGGGUAGGGAUGAAAGCAAAAAGAUGCAUGCAAAUAUUUGUAUUUAUCGUUCUACCUUGCUUAUAUUCCCGAGGGACGGAGAUAGGUAAACUAUUCGCUAUGGCUACUGAACUGAAUGGGCUGAUGCCAUGUCAUUUGGCAACCUGUCCCAAAAGCUCACGAAAAGUAGGCCUUGAAUGCAUCUCAAGCCUUUAACACCUUUCUUUGUUUUCAUCCUCAGGUUUGCUGUUAAAGUCAUGACAUUUUUCACAUGCACAGUUCCGAUUCAACCUGAGAAAGUCAUUGGUAUUCUCAAAUGGUGUGUGGAAAUGUGGCACUGGUGUUUCUUUGAAGUGUUAUCACUGGCAGCUGCUGGUGGAGUUGGAAUAGAAUCAUUAUGCUAAUUUGGUCCUGUCCCUAUCUGAGGGAAAUGGAAGAAAGUAUCACUGUGGAUGGAAUAAUGAUUUUUUUUGCUGUGAGAAUAAACACUUUGUGUAAUAAUUAAAC